CGGUGGGCAAGCAGAAAAGGUGAUGGGUCAUGCAUCUUCCUGACGCACCGUGAAGCAGGAAGAAAUGGAACAGUAGCUCUGUGUUACAUGUGAGGAGCGAGAAGCACCAACAUGAGAUGUGUGAUCUGUUUAGGAUGAUUGACCAGCAAGUCCCAAGGAUCUGCCUGUCUCCACCACCCCUCAACUUCCUAGCAUUGGAACUGUGGGCAUGAGCUGACACACCCAGGGUUUCACAUGGAUGCUAAGAAUGAUCUAGCUCAGGUCUCAAGCCACUGCAAGCAUUGUACCCACUGAGCGAUCCAUCCCGCCCCCUCUACUCUUCGGGAGUUUCCAACCCUAAUAUUGUUUCCAACAAUUGUGUCCAACAGUAAAUAUGAUUUGCCUUAGGGAGGAAA
rnacentral:lncRNA from 1 species